GAUGAACGCUGGCGGCGUGCCUAAUACAUGCAAGUCGAGCGGACCAAAGAGAGCUUGCUCUCUGAGGUUAGCGGCGGACGGGUGAGUAACACGUGGGUAACCUGCCUGUAAGACGGGGAUAACUUCGGGAAACCGAAGCUAAUACCGGAUGAUAAAGAGAAAUGCCUGUUUCUUUUUUGAAAGUCGGCCUUGUGCUGACGCUUACAGAUGGGCCCGCGGCGCAUUAGCUAGUUGGUGAGGUAACGGCUCACCAAGGCGACGAUGCGUAGCCGACCUGAGAGGGUGAUCGGCCACACUGGGACUGAGACACGGCCCAGACUCCUACGGGAGGCAGCAGUAGGGAAUCUUCGGCAAUGGACGAAAGUCUGACGGAGCAACGCCGCGUGAGUGAUGAAGGCUUUCGGGUCGUAAAACUCUGUUGUUAGGGAAGAACAAGUACGAGAGUAACUGCUCGUACCUUGACGGUACCUAACCAGAAAGCCACGGCUAACUACGUGCCAGCCGCCGCAGUAAUAC
rnacentral:rRNA from 1 species